GCGACCGGGGAGGGGAGACCUGUGCUUCCCCGUUUAAUUUUUUGUCGUGAGGUGUCUGUGCUCUUGUGUUUCCGAACUCGCCAUGUUUUUGUGGUGUAGACAAUGCUAAGUGAUGUCUCCUUAUAGAUUUACGAAUUUAUAGUGUGAAGUGAGACGAAAAAAUAAUAGCGAAUAUAGAAAUUGCGGAGGAGUAAGAGUGAAAUUUUUCGUGUCGGAGGAGAGAGGCGAGUGAACUCCAGAAGAAUGCCGCCCCCCACGGCAUAUGAACGUGCCCAUGAUGGAGGGAGCGACGUCGAGCUCUCCGACGAUGAGAACAUGCCAUCAAUCAGGAUAUCUACGGCGGGAGCCGCCGCUCCGUGCAAGAGACCAAAGCAUGGGACGUGUUCCGCACGACGCCCCCCGUCAACAGCUCCCUCUCGAAGACGGUCAG